GUGGCGAACGGGUGAGUAACACGUGAGUAACCUGCCCCUGACUCUGGGAUAAGCGUUGGAAACGACGUCUAAUACUGGAUAUGAUCGCCGGCCGCAUGGUCUGGUGGUGGAAAGAUUUUUUGGUUGGGGAUGGACUCGCGGCCUAUCAGCUUGUUGGUGAGGUAAUGGCUCACCAAGGCGACGACGGGUAGCCGGCCUGAGAGGGUGACCGGCCACACUGGGACUGAGACACGGCCCAGACUCCUACGGGAGGCAGCAGUGGGGAAUAUUGCACAAUGGGCGAAAGCCUGAUGCAGCAACGCCGCGUGAGGGAUGACGGCCUUCGGGUUGUAAACCUCUUUUAGUAGGGAAGAAGCGAGAGUGACGGUACCUGCAGAAAAAGCACCGGCUAACUACGUGCCAGCAGCCGCGGUAAUACGUAGGGUGCAAGCGUUGUCCGGAAUUAUUGGGCGUAAAGAGCUCGUAGGCGGUUUGUCGCGUCUGCUGUGAAAUCCCGAGGCUCAACCUCGGGCUUGCAGUGGGUACGGGCAGACUAGAGUGCGGUAGGGGAGAUUGGAAUUCCUGGUGUAGCGGUGGAAUGCGCAGAUAUCAGGAGGAACACCGAUGGCGAAGGCAGAUCUCUGGGCCGUAACUGACGCUGAGGAGCGAAAGCAUGGGGAGCGAACAGGAUUAGAUACCCUGGUAGUCCAUGCCGUAAACGUUGGGCGCUAGAUGUAGGGACCUUUCCACGGUUUCUGUGUCGUAGCUAACGCA
rnacentral:rRNA from 1 species